GACAGAGGGUGCAAACGUUGCUCGGAAUUACUGGGCGUAAAGCGCGUGUAGGCGGGCUGAUAAGUCAGAUGUGAAAUCCCCGGGCUCAACUCGGGAACUGCAUUUGAAACUGUCAGUCUGGAGUACUGGAGAGGAAAGCGGAAUUCCUGGUGUAGAGGUGAAAUUCGUAGAUAUCAGGAGGAACACCGGUGGCGAAGGCGGCUUUCUGGACAGUUACUGACGCUGAGACGCGAAAGCGUGGGGAGCAAACAGG
rnacentral:rRNA from 1 species